AUAAGAGGUCCCGCCUGCCCUGUGACUAGAAGUUUAACGGCCGCGGUAUUUUGACCGUGCGAAGGUAGCGUAAUCACUUGUCUUUUAAAUAAAGACCUGUAUGAAUGGCACAACGAGGGCUAAGCUGUCUCCUCCUUCCAGUCAAUGAAAUUGAUCUACCCGUGCAGAAGCGGGUAUAACCCCAUAAGACGAGAAGACCCUAUGGAGCUUAAGACACCAAGACAGACCACGUCAAAACCCCUAGUCACCAGGAAAAAACCAAAUGGCUACUGUCCCCUGUCUUUGGUUGGGGCGACCGCGGAGAAACAAAAAACCCCCACGUGGAAUGGACUUCACCCCCUAAAGCCAGAGCCACAGCUCUAACAAACAGAACAUCUGACCAUCAAGAUCCGGCAACGCCGAUCAACGGACCCAGUUACCCUAGGGAUAACAGCGCAAUCCCCUUUUAGAGCCCAUAUCGACAAGGGGGUUUACGACCUCGAUGUUGGAUCAGGACUCCCCAAUGGUGCAGCCGCUAUUAAGGGUUCGUUUGUUCAACGAUUAAAGUCCUACGUGAUC
rnacentral:rRNA from 1 species